GCAAGCGAGGAAAAAGAACACGGUUCUCCCCGAAUUCUUGCUUGCAAUUAUCUUAUAGCACAUCUCUUUCAGUCUGUUACCUCAAUCACUGUGAAAACUCCCAAAAAGCAUGUACGGUUCCAUGGUAUACCCCAGAGCUGAGAGCGAUGAAACAAUAUAGCAGACGGCUUGAGUGCAGAUGGCGGCGAACUCCUGGUGGAUGCAGUUACACACUGAUAUUUGUGGGAGACUCAAGGCUGGCUGCUGAAAUUUGAAUAUUAUGAAUGUCUGAAGAAGCACUGAAACAGUUUAAAA